CGGCGCGCCCCUCGCGUGCCGUGGGAGGGGCGGCCCCGGGAGCCAGAUCUGGACCAGUGGAGGGUCUCCGGCGCCUGGCUGGAGCGGGCCCGCGCGGACGGCCGCGGGAAGGGGCCCAUGGGCAGGGCCCGCGUGGGGCCUUGGUCUGUCCCCAGUGGAGGGGGCAGCGGGCCAGCGAGCGCCUGGGCUGGGCUGCGCGCUUACCGGGCGCUCCCCAGGUCCCCAGUUUGUUCCGACCCCGCACGGACUCGGCCCUGCCCCAUCGAGGCCAGAGGUCAAAAUGCUGGUCAGGACGGAGCACCGUGCCCGGGGACCCUCAGGCUCUGGGGGCCUUCCAGGGGGUGCGUUUGUCACCUGGCUGGGGAGGUGGCUCCCUCUUGGAGCCUCCAGGGCCAGGCCCCAGGGUGAUGGUGGAUCUGUGCUCAGGGGAGGGGUGGCUGGCUCCUCUCUUCCGGGUUUGAACCGUCCUGAGGGCCAGGGCCAGCAGUGGCCACAGGCUGGAGCCAAACGAAACCUCCCCAGCCAGGCGCCUGGUCCCGGAACUUGCUGUGGUCUGGACUCCACGGCAUUGUGGGUGCUGCCAGCAGAGCCGCUGGACAGGCAGGCAGAGGAAUCAGGGGCGAGCUGCUGGGCGGGGUAAGGCUCCCUGAGCCUCAAGGAGCUUGUUGUGUCCCUGUAGACACACCCUCCCAGUGAGCAGUGACUCAGAGCUGGGCAGGGUGAUAACGUCCUGAGUUGUCAUGCCUGCUGGUCCCGGAGAACCUGAUUUAGCCCGAGACCAGGUAGUCUCUGCCUACAGACACGGAUUGGUACAGAGACCACACAUCUCGGCGCUGGGGAAGCAAUGGGCUUCCCGUCCUCAGAGCAGGGUCCCCAGGGAACAGGGGAGGGCAGCCAAGAUGCUUGGGCUGUAAGCCUAGACCCAUGGCAUCUCACAGAGCCCCUUCGAGUCUGCCCUGAGCUGCCUCUGGACCUCAUGCGGGCUUACUCUCUCCAUGCUACCUGCCUUCUGUGUGAUGUGGUGUUUCUCAAGCAUGUACCCUCAACCCCCCCCAGUCCCUACACGCCCCCCCCCGCCGAGGGCCCCUGAGCUGGCUCUAGUCGGUGUCCAGUUGUAUGUGCAGGUGCCUCUGAGCCAAGGCUCUCCCCGGCCAUGAUUCCAGCUUUUCCCACAUCGUCGAGGCUGCACUGGUGUGGUCAGCCCACCUGGCUCUGGUUUCUUGUCUGUGUGCCCUUCUGGAAGGUCUCCCAGGAGGACUGGACCUUGGACUCCCUUUGCAUCUGACGGUCGUAGCAGUGCGCCCCUCAGGCUGCCUCCUGGUGUGGUCCUGGUGGGCUGGGGCCUCCCUCUGGGAGUGGAGGAGCCUGGGUGCUCUUGCUCAGAGCAGUGGAAGCAGGGGAUCCUGUAGUGCGAUGUCCACGGGGUAGGGUGGGGUGGAGUCAGCGCAGGUCCCUGGAGCCUGCUUCUCCCAUUUCGGGCUGCGGCCUCCCAGCCCCACAGCCCUCUGUCUGCCCUGAGAUCUCUGUCCCUGAGCCAGUCUGGGACCCCCGGGCCAGGCCCCAGGGAGCAGCUCCUCCCUCCUCUGGCCUGGUUUCACUCAGCCACCAGGCAGGCUCUCUAGAGCAGCCCCACCCUGGACAGCUGUGUCUCCCUGAGAGUGGUGGGCCACUGCCCAGGGCCAGGAGGGGGGCAGCUCUUGUGGGUCGGGCCUGCCUCCAGGGGCCUGUUACCUGGGCAGCCUCCCCUGGGUGGUCCCCCUAUCCACGUGUGAACCUCAGGGGGGGAUUCUUUCCUCCAAGCCCGGCCAGCCCUUCCGUGUUGGAAGCUGAGGAGGAAGCUGGUGGACCUGAUGCUUAAUUGCAGGGAGGAGACUGAGGACCUGUGACUUGAGCGGAGCUACUGCCCACCUGAGGGCCUGCUCCUCCGGCUGCUGUCAGACGGGGGCGUGGCUGUGUCCCCUCCGCCCCAAGCUGGGUGGAGGGGGUGGGGCGCACAGUUAUUCUCAGCUGAGGCCUCUGGAGGGUAGAGUUUCAGGUUGUUUAUGCCUCUAGGAGGCACCUGGGGGCAGGGGCGGGCUCCCGGCUUAGCCCUGCAGCCCGGCCUGGCCUAGAGACACCUCGGAUUUCCCUGCUGACCUGGUGGGGGCCUGAGGAGGGGGGUGCGCCUGCAGCCCCAGCAGGCCAGGGGUCUGAAGCUUUCUCUAGGGUGUUCUGGUGACAGAGGGCCUGUACACAGUGGUUCUCAGCCAGCCCAGAGUGGGCAGCGUGCCAGCCUGCACACCGGAGGGGCACUUCACACCCGCCGGCUGGCCCGCGUCUGCCUGGCCGUGCUCCCCUGCGGGGUCAGUGCUAUUAAUACCAGGCCAGUGCGCAGCCCCAGCUGGGUGAUCCUCUUAUGCCCGUGGCCUCGGGGCUGGCGCUGAGUGCUGUUGCGUCUACAAAGGCCCUGGGGUCUCUUACCUGUGGGCCCCCUGCCUCCCAGCAGACAGCCCCACCGGCCAGGGUGUGGACCCAACUCCGGCUCCUCGGCUGCUGUGCUGCCCACCCCUGGAGGGGCAGUUGGGCCGGCUCCCUUGCGGUCCUGGGGGGCUGCUGUGCGUCUCAGAGUCGCUGUUGUGAUGCCCCUGCCCACACCUGGGCUCGCCCUGCCAUCCCAGUUUCCCCCGUGUCCCAGCCAUGAGCAGCCCCCCAGCUUACCCUGGCAUCAGGGUCUCGGGCUGCUGGACCCUUGGAGCAGAAGGCAGGUGAGUGGCUGGCCUGCCGGCUUCUGGCGGGAAUGCCCGUCUUCGCUGUGUCUAGGGGACACCAGGACCUGGGCCGGGCAGUCCUGCUGCCCGCAGGCACGGUUACCUGCUGACCUAUGUCCACCGGGGCUUGUAAUCCUUUGGUGGAAAUGACCUCUUGUCAUCGCAGCCAGCAGAGCAAGGAGGUGAGGGCUUGUGUGAUUUUCCGGCUCGAAGUUUGUCCCGUUGUGAAAGGGGGCGAGGCUUGUUCGGAGGGCGCAGUAUCCCUCCUCCAGAGAGACGGCGGGGCUGGGCUUGGCUGCUGACCCAGCCUGGGGCCAGCCGUCGCCAGCCCGGGGGUGGGGGGAGGCGGGUUUCUGGCGGGUGGUCCCUGGCUUGCUUCCAACUCAUCCCUGCAUGGCCCCGUCCUCUGGGGAUGUCUCUGCCCCAGAAAGCCGCCCGUGGUGGUCAUGGCCUCCGUAGGACAAGGAAUAGUCACGGGUGAAGGCUCCACCUGGAGAAGCCAGGCCACCAGCCUGGGCUGAAGAGCAGGGCUGGGAGCAGCGCCAGCCCCAGAGCUCCUGUCACGGUCCCCCGACAUCCGCGGGGGUCCCGCUGCUGUGAGCGUGCUCAGCAGUUUUCUGUGUUGGCGGUUGCUCCCCGAGUAGGAGGCACAGGUGGCGGCCAGCCUGGUUGGUUUUUUCUGCCCACCAAGGCCACCCUCCCCACCCCCAGCGCCAGGGCGUCCAUCAUCUCCGGGUCUGUGGGUCGCUUGGGGAGGGCCACUGCGUGUGAGCCCCGGGGCCUUGUGCUCACGGUGGGUGGGUGCGUCCGAGGAGCAGCCGGUGCUGCCCCCAUUCCAGGGCUCUGUCCGUGUCCUUCUGGGCUGAGGUGGGUGGCACCCCUGGGGCGGCUCCUCGUCACUGCCCUGGCAUCGUGUGUCCCGCUGUGUUGUUUGCCCUCAGCUCCACGAUGAGUGACGGCUCCUCUAGCGCCACAGAGGUGGCUCUGAGCACAGGCCCGUUAUUCCCAGAGCUCGCUCGCUCCCCACGUGGCCCGGUGACGGUCCCCACAGCUCCUGUCACACCUGCUGUCAGCAGGCUUUCUCGCUGCUCACACUCACGCAGACCUCGCCCUCUGUGCCCUGAGAGCUGCGCUGCGACUGGUCACGUGUGAGGCCUGAGCUAAUUCCGCCCUGCCCCCACCCCCACACGUGUGCAAACAGACACCGUCCCCUUGGCAACGCCGGGUGCUCUGGGAGUGCCACAUGCUGGAUGCGCCCGCGUCCCCCCGCGAGCUUUGGUUUUGGAGAACGGAGGGCACGUACUCGUGAAAUCUCCAAUUCCGGCGGAAGCCCUGGUUCUGGCUCUUGGCAGCGGAGACCAUCCUGGCACAUCUGCUUCCCACUGUUUCUGGGCUCCUGUUGCCCUGGGCCUCACGGGUGCUCAUGUGAAGGGCGUGGCCUCUGGCUUUUGCCUUCCCUCCCAACAGUGCUUCGGGGAUGCUGUCUGCGUGCGGCCUUCCCCGGGCCCCUUGCUCCGGUCCCGAGCUGCACCCACAGUGGGGUUCCCACCGUGGGUGGACACACGUCCUGCAGGGGUUGUCUGGGGCACCCCCAGUUCCCGAACUUUCUUCCCGCCUGCCCUGGACCCGUCCCUCUGCGGCUGGGGCAGGCUUUCAGCCCAGUCUCUUUCUUAGGCAGUGGCCAGAACUGCCUUGUGCCCCAGCUUGUCCUGUCCUGGGGCUGUCUUCAGCACAGACUGAGCAGGAUUCUGGCAACACUCUCACCAGCAGCAGUGCAGAGUCCUUGGACAGGCUCCUCCCACCCGUGGGCGCCGGGCGCUCGCCCCGAAAGCGCACCACCAGCCAGUGCAAGUCUGAGCCGCCCCUGCUGCGAACCAGCAAGCGCACCAUCUACACCGCAGGGCGGCCACCCUGGUACAACGAGCACGGCACACAGUCCAAGGAGGCCUUUGCCAUCGGCCUGGGGGGCGGCAGUGCCUCUGGGAAGACCACUGUGGCCAGAAUGAUCAUUGAGGCCCUGGAUGUGCCCUGGGUGGUCCUGCUGUCCAUGGAUUCCUUCUACAAGGUGCUCACCAGGCAGCAGCAGGAGCAGGCUGCCCACAACAAUUUCAACUUCGACCACCCCGAUGCCUUUGACUUCGACCUCAUCAUCUCCACCCUCAAGAAGCUGAAGCAGGGCAAGAGCGUCAAGGUGCCCAUCUAUGACUUCACCACCCACAGCCGGAAGAAGGACUGGAAAACGCUCUACGGUGCGAACGUCAUCAUUUUCGAGGGCAUCAUGGCCUUUGCUGACAAGACCCUGCUGGAGCUCCUGGACAUGAAGAUCUUUGUGGACACGGACUCCGACAUCCGCCUGGUGCGGCGGCUGCGCCGCGACAUCAGCGAGCGGGGCCGGGACAUCGAGGGCGUCAUCAAGCAGUACAACAAGUUCGUGAAGCCUGCCUUCGACCAGUACAUCCAGCCCACCAUGCGCCUGGCGGACAUCGUGGUGCCCCGGGGGAGCGGAAACACCGUGGCCAUCGACCUGAUCGUGCAGCACGUACACAGCCAGCUGGAGGAGCGCGAGCUGAGUGUCAGAGGAAGCUGCGCUGGGAUGUGUGAGGACAGAGUGCUCUGGUUGUGCUGCUGCGCUGUGUGCCCGCGGCUCCGCGUCCCCCCACCCCCCCGCUCCUCUGCCCGCUCCCGGCUGGGGCUCCGGCUGGGGCUCCAGCUGCGGUGGCUGGGGCUGCAAGCAUCACCUGGCAGGGUGGGGGGAUUCAGGUGGGGCUUGGGCGCCCAAAGCUCAGCUCUUUCCCCGGGGAGAGGUGUCCUGAGGUUGGCAACCAGCUGCUCCUCAGAGGCAGAGUGGAGGGGGUUGCUAAGAUUCAUCUGCAAGGGCGAGGCCUCCCCUCCCACCACCAGGUCCUGCAGGAGGGAGGGAGGCUCUCACCACAGCCCUGCUUCCUGCCUACUGAUCAGCUCUGCCUUCCACCUUGUCCUUUAACCUUUGCCUGGCUGUCGUGGGGAGGGGUCCUGGGGCGGGGCGCUCCCUCCAGAUCAGCCACUGGGAGGUGGUGACCCCCAACCCUGCACACAUACCCUUCCCAGUGUCCCCCCCCCCAGUGUGUAGGGAAGAUGGGGUCUGGGAGAAGACACCCCUUCUCCCGUUCCCAAUUUGGCUUGUGUCCCCAGGGCUGCGCUGGCCUCCGCGCACCAGUGCCACCCCCUGCCCCAGACGCUGAGUGUCCUCAAGAGCACACCGCAGGUGCGCGGCAUGCAUACCAUCAUCAGGGACCGGGAGACCAGCCGCGACGAGUUCAUCUUCUACUCCAAGAGGCUGAUGCGGCUGCUCAUCGAGCAUGCGCUGUCCUUCCUGCCCUUCCAGGACUGCGUGGUGCAGACCCCGCAGGGGCAGGACUACGCGGGCAAGUGCUACGCCGGGAAGCAGGUACUGGGCUCCGCCUGGGGGUGGGCGGGGGCGACCGGGAGGCGGGGGUCCAGCCCGCUCAGCCUCGCCCCCGCAGAUCACGGGCGUGUCCAUCCUGCGGGCGGGCGAGACCAUGGAGCCUGCACUGCGGGCCGUGUGCAAGGACGUGCGCAUCGGCACCAUCCUCAUCCAGACCAACCAGCUCACCGGGGAGCCCGAGCUCCACUACCUGCGGCUCCCCAAGGACAUCAGCGAUGACCACGUGAUCCUGAUGGACUGCACGGUGUCCACUGGCGCCGCAGCCAUGAUGGCCGUGCGGGUGCUGCUGGACCACGACGUGCCAGAGGACAAGAUCUUCCUGCUGUCGCUGCUCAUGGCCGAGAUGGGCGUCCACUCGGUGGCCUACGCGUUCCCCCGCGUGCGGAUCAUCACCACGGCAGUGGACAAGCGCGUCAACGACCUCUUCCGCAUCAUCCCCGGCAUCGGGAACUUUGGCGACCGCUACUUCGGGACUGACGCUGUCCCCGACGGCAGCGACGAGGAGGAGGGGGGCUCUGCCAGCUAGCCUCGCACCCAGAGCCUUCUCAGCCCGCCCCCAGCCCUGUCUCCCAGCCCCACACAGAACAGACACUUUGAUUUAUUUUAAUUAAAAAAA